UCCCCAGAAGACUUUAGUAACUGACUUCAAGAUAUUUUUAGAUUUUACAUUGGAUUGGUCGCAACUGAUAAAAAUUGUUCCUUAUCCUCUCUUUUUGUAAGUCAUCUAAGACCUAAAUGAGAAUUUGGUCAGAAGACUAAAUUGGGAUGGAAAAUUAUAGAUCUGGUAUAUCUCUAUCAUGUAAAAGGAUAUUUCCAAAGGGACCUAAAAAACUGGCAUUUAAGACAAACAUAUGGCCUCUCAAAUAAAUAACUGAUCCCCAAUAGAAAAAUAAUCCAAAAUUUCUACAUUGUCUAAGACCUAAAGGCCUAUUGAUAAGUUUACUUUCAGACUCUGUAAUGAAACAGUUUAUUGAGACAGCUAGUAUCAAUAUUAGCACAAAAAUGUGCCAAUUCCCCCAAACCUACUCAAUGAUGCUGCCUUGAAGAAGACAUUUAGCAUUCAAUAACUGCCUAUCCCUUUAACUUCCAAGAAAUUACUCAACAAAAAUGGCAUUUUCUUGUAGAUAUGGUAGCCAUUGUUUCAAUCACAAAUUUCACUAUUCUAAAAAGGCAGAUCCCUUGUUCUACUCUCACUUGAAUAGUAUGAAUUUCUAAUAAUUUCAACUCUAUCUUUAUGUAUAAAUCUUUAACUGUCCUGCUGUGACCAUUAUCUCCAGAGUACUUCAUCUUUUAAGAAACUACCCUAUCAAAUUUAUUAUCAAAUUUAUACACAGAGAUUUACUGUAUAACUAAAACUGCCAAAAAAUGUUUAACUGAAAGACUGUGAACAGAGUUCCCAGAAUAUGUUAUACCUUUAAUUAUUUUAUAGCUGAUAUUUUAAUGUUUGUUUUCCUAAAGUAAAUAUUAGAAAAUCUUUGAUCAGCAACUGAGAAUUAGAUAAUCUUACAAAAUAUUUAUGAACAAACGAAUGUAUUAAUAUUGUUAAAAAUAUAAGUUAAACAAGUUAGCAUUCAGGUUGAUAUUUUUAGUUAUUAUAUAAUCUUUGUCAGUAACAAGUUUGUUACUUUCUCAAGUAACAAGUUGCAU
rnacentral:lncRNA from 1 species